rnacentral:rRNA from 1 species
UAGGGAAUCUUCCACAAUGGACGCAAGUCUGAUGGAGCAACGCCGCGUGAGUGAAGAAGGUUUUCGGAUCGUAAAGCUCUGUUGUUGGUGAAGAAGGAUAGAGGCAGUAACUGGUCUUUAUUUGACGGUAAUCAACCAGAAAGUCACGGCUAACUACGUGCCAGCAGCCGCGGUAAUACGUAUGUGGCAAGCGUUGUCCGGAUUUAUUGGGCGUAAAGCGAGCGCAGGCGGAAUGAUAAGUCUGAUGUGAAAGCCCACGGCUCAACCGUGGAACUGCAUCGGAAACUGUCAUUCUUGAGUGCAGAAGAGGAGAGUGGAAUUCCAUGUGUAGCGGUGGAAUGCGUAGAUAUAUGGAAGAACACCAGUGGCGAAGGCGGCUCUCUGGUCUGCAACUGACGCUGAGGCUCGAAAGCAUGGGUAGCGAACAGG